rnacentral:rRNA from 1 species
CUGGCUCAGGAUGAACGCUAGCGACAGGCUAACACAUGCAAGUCGAGGGGCAUCACGGGAGUAGCAAUACAACUGGUGGCGACCGGCGCACGGGUGAGUAACGCGUAUGCAACCUACCUAUCAGAGGGGAAUAACCCGGCGAAAGUCGGACUAAUACCGCAUAAAACAGGGGCACCGCAUGGUGAUAUUUGUUAAAGAAAUUCGCUGAUAGAUGGGCAUGCGUUCCAUUAGGUAGUUGGUGAGGUAACGGCUCACCAAGCCGACGAUGGAUAGGGGAACUGAGAGGUUGGUCCCCCACACUGGUACUGAGACACGGACCAGACUCCUACGGGAGGCAGCAGCGAGGAAUAUUGGUCAAUGGGCGGGAGCCUGAACCAGCCAAGUCGCGUGAAGGAAAGAAGGAUCUAUGGUUCGUAAACUUCUUUUGCAGGGGAAUAAAGUGCAGGACGUGUCCUGUUUUGUAUGUACCCUGAGAAUAAGGAUCGGCUAACUCCGUGCCAGCAGCUGC